rnacentral:misc_RNA from 1 species
GGAAUUCUCGGGAUCAUUCUUAUUAAAUCUGAUACACAUUACAACGAGCAACUUCAGCGGCUCAUCAUCAUUUCUUUCUUUCACUUUGGACUCAGCUUUAGGGAAGCACUGUUGAUACAAUAUCUCUUCCCAGUCGGUGGCGGACCAUCAUCAAAGACAUGACCAAGGUGGGCAUCACAGACAGCACAAAGAACCUCCGUCCGGGGCAUGAAUAUGAUUGACAUAUCCAACUUUGAUUUCACAUUGUCUCCAAUCGGUUUAUAAUAUGACGGCCAGCCAGUCCCGCUGUCGAAUUUUGUGGAAGAUUCAAAUAAGGGCGUAUCGCAACAAAUACAAUGGUAAGUUCCGGGUGUUUUUGUAUUCCAGUAUUCCCCUGAAAAAGCCCUUUCUGUACCCUUUUGUCGAGUGACAUAAUAUUGUUCUGCUGUGAGGCGCUUCUUCCACUCCUCUUCGCCUAUGGAAGGGCCACCAACCUUACCUUGCUCUUGAAAUUGAUCCGGCUUCUGAGAAGAGGGAGAGGAGCCCAUCGCACGGACGGCGAAGCGCCUGAAGGAUCGGCCUCUGGUUUCCUUGUUGGGGACGAGAAGAGCACGGGACUGAGAGCGCAGGGAAUCGAAGGCGGUAGCGGAGAGAUUGGUCGUCGAUGGCAAAAUCCUCACACUCAUCGUCGUUUCUAGGUGGUCAUUGUUGACGAAGUGUUCAAAAG